rnacentral:lncRNA from 1 species
UGACAUCCUAUAAACUGAAUGAUAAAAGCCUAACUGUAUCCAAAGGGAUGAGGAACAUUUUAAAGGUUAGCAUGAGAAGUUCCAGUUCUAAAACGUUCACUCAAAUCAGGAUACUCACUCAUUUUAUGCCCAUUUUCAUUUAUGAAGAACGCUCUUCAGAUAACACUGAGUCCUAUGCGUAUACGUGUAUGAGUGUGCGAGUGCUUUCGUGUAUAUGUGUUUAUUUGUGGGUGCAUCCACGUGGGUUUAAUAUGAAAUAUGAAUAGUGCGUUAAAUUUGUAUUACCUUCCCUUUUCUACAUUAUAUUUACAUUGAUAUCUCCAUUUUCUUUUUCAGAAAGACCUGAGAAAAGUGUAGCGGAACUUCGGAAAGUAUUUGGUAAAGUUUUCUGACAUUCUUUGCCUCAUAACCUUGAAAUGAUGCUAAUGUUCCCUGCAUUUCUAUCUGCAUGACACCCACUGCUUCUCUUUCCCUUCUUUGCCCUCCAAUUUUUUGAAUUAGACUACUCCCAUUUUAAUAUCUUCUGUUUGGUUUUCCCCAUUCUAUGCCUUCCCACGCCUUGAUUUUCAUGGAGUAUCUUUUCUUUCCUAUAAACAUUAGAUUUAUUUCCCUAGUUUAUACAUCUCCAGAGACUUGUUGAUUUGACUGUAAUUUUAAAUGUAAUGUAAAAAACAAGAGGUAUUAGGCUGAUGAGCACACCUCUUCCAUCCUGUGUACGUUUUCUGAUAAAUGACCACUGAGGUAGAAUCAUUGUCACUUUUCAAGUUCAAGGGACAAUAACCAUGCAACUGAUACUGGCCCAAACUUGAAGUGGAAAGCAAACUCCACAUUUGCUGAAUGAAGUUUCUCUACCUUCUGCUCAGUCAAAGGCUCAUUUUCUCCUGUCAUCCACUGGCCAAGAAUGGAGUGAGCUCUAAGUUAACUCUCCCACAAACCUUGAUCUUAUUAAUCAGUUGUUCCCAGGUAUAUAAAUAGUUUACCUAAAAUAGUGUGGCAUCUUAGCUUUCAAAAUUACUCGUUCCGCAACCUGCAAAUGUUCUUACUGUGUUUAGAAGGAUAUCAUCUGUCCAGGGAAGGUCAUGUGAUAACAGAUCUCUCAUUAAUGAAAUGUUAUGUUAGUGAAAUGAAGAGUGAUAUUGCUUGGCAAACUGUAAUGAGUUUUUACAGAAAACGCUAAGUCAAACACUAAGAUUUUCCAACCUCUAUACUCUUGAUAUGUUUUCACUUACAUUUUUGUUUUGGAGAAAUUGCAUUUAGCCAUCUAUCUCUUUACACUUUAUAGGAAGCUAAGAGUGCCUAAGUCUCCAUUAACCCAUGUGUAGAGGAGGAUUGACUCUUUACUGUAUGUUUCCUCAUCACUCUUUUUCUGGCCACACCCACAGCAUGCAGAAGUUUCAGGGCCUGGGAUCAAACCCAAGCCACGCUAGGACCUGGGCCACAGCUGUGACAACACCAGGUCCUUAACCUGCAGAGCCACCAGGGAACUCCAUCAUCCCUUAUUAAAUACAUCUCUAGUAUAUCUGCUCAUGGAACAUUUUUUAUUCUGAAAAAGGUAGGCGGCCCAACACAAGCCCAAUGCCUGAAAAUGCUUAAUCGAGAGGAACUCCUAUUCUACUUCCUCUGAUGAGGCCAUUUCCAAUCUUACAUUCAUGUGGGAACCAGAAAGUAUGGACUUAAAACCUGCACUACUUCCCAUUACUUACUUGGACAUUGAGCCUCAUGAUUUAGAUUCUCCUCAGUGGAGGGCCAUUUGAAUUUGAAAUUUUUGACCUCUUCUCUUCCUGCCAUUGACCUCUUGUUUUUAGUGGAUAGGUGUUUCCUUCAUUUUAUUUGACUGAUUAGUUAAAGCCAAAAGGUAUAUCUCACAACUUAUAUCACUUUGUACCUAAGCAGGUUUCAUACGAUUCCCAUAACUUUGUCUUCAACACGCAGUUCCCAUCUACCCCAACACCUGCAGACAUAAAACUUACAUGAUUUUUCUUGUUAUUUAGUCAUUGCAGAUCAAAGUUGCCUUCUGCAUUGGUUAUUCAGUUUACUUCCAUUCCUGCUUCUGUGAUUUCUCUUCUUGAUACAAUCUAGGCAGACAUUUCUUUGUGUCAGCUAAAUGUCACUAACAUUAGUAAUUAUACAUUGCAAAGUUCUGCCAUUUUCAAGCUUCUGCAGUGAGGUUUUUUCCAAAUAUGCUCAGCUGUUUGAUUUACAACCACUUUCACUCUCAUUUAGGACUGAAAUCCCUUCUUUCACGUGAACGUGAUUUCAUUAAGAAGGGCUUCCCUUAGGCAUUAUCUAACAUAGCAAUUUGCAUCACAAAAGUUUAUGUGUUCACCAGUAGACAAAAGUGUGAAUAGAACUAUCUAGGAAACAACUCCUGCAUUUCCUCUGCAACACUGGCCAAAGUUGUCAAUGCAAUAGUUAGAGCAUCUUGAGACAUCUUAGCUAUUACAGUAGUGAUGUUGACUCCAUCUAUUAUUAGAGCUCAUAAUCCUAGUAAUAAAGCCGUAGUUAUGGCAAAAUAGGUAAAGAACAUUUUUAAAAUGUAACAUUUGGAACUAUUACUUGAAUAGUUUGUCCCUAGUUAAGAUGACGUUUAUUUUUUACUCUUAUUCUCCUUCAGGAGAAUGCUCUCUUGACAAAAUAAGAUGUCAUCCACUCUGUGUGUGUGUGUGUGUGUAUCAUUAUUCAGCUAGUUAUAAGUUUAUAUAUGAAUUGUCUAAUAACUUGUGUUUCCUGUUGUUCCAUUUCCAUGAUAUUGACCUUAAACUUUUCACUUUAUUUUUCAGAACCUCAGGGAAAAAAUGGUAAGUGUUCUAAAAAGUUGUUACUCAUUAAUCCUUUUUACACAACUGAUUUCUUGAGGUCUCGACAUUCCAAAUCUCUUAAUCAUCAUGCUUUUCUUUGUCUUGUCCUUUUCUGGAAUGUGUAUCUUUCCACUUGAAAUUUUUUGUUAUAGAAUUCCCCAUUGAAAGUUCUUUCCAUGACGCUUUCCAGCCUCAAAUCCACAUCCAACUCUGCUCUUUCUAUUAUUUCUUCACUAUCAAUAAUAGCACUUUUAUGUUUUUUUAGAGAAUGGUUUCAGGCUCAUUAAAAAGUCCAUGAGUUGAAGGACCUUAAGUUGAAAGGCA